CCUACGGGCGGCAGCAGUGGGGAAUAUUGCACAAUGGGCGCAAGCCUGAUGCAGCCAUGCCGCGUGUGUGAAGAAGGCCUUCGGGUUGUAAAGCACUUUCAGCGGGGAGGAAGGCGGUGAGGUUAAUAACCUCAUCGAUUGACGUUACCCGCAGAAGAAGCACCGGCUAACUCCGUGCCAGCAGCCGCGGUAAUACGGAGGGUGCAAGCGUUAAUCGGAAUUACUGGGCGUAAAGCGCACGCAGGCGGUCUGUCAAGUCGGAUGUGAAAUCCCCGGGCUCAACCUGGGAACUGCAUUCGAAACUGGCAGGCUAGAGUCUUGUAGAGGGGGGUAGAAUUCCAGGGGUAGCGGUGAAAUGCGUAGAGAUCUGGAGGAAUACCGGUGGCGAAGGCGGCCCCCUGGACAAAGACUGACGCUCAGGUGCGAAAGCGUGGGGAGCAAACAGGAUUAGAUACCCCUGGUAGUC
rnacentral:rRNA from 1 species